GCAAGUCGAGCGCGCCCUUCGGGGUGAGCGGCGGACGGGUGAGUAACGCGUGGGAACAUACCUAAUAGUACGGAAUAACGAUUGGAAACGAUCGCUAAUACCGUAUACGCCCUUUGGGGGAAAGAUUUAUCGCUAUUAGAUUGGCCCGCGUUGGAUUAGUUAGUUGGUGGGGUAAUGGCCUACCAAGACGACGAUCUAUAGCUGGUCUGAGAGGAUGAUC
rnacentral:rRNA from 1 species